ACUUGUAACUUUUUUGAAGCAUUUGAUUUGAACUCAGAUUGUUUGUUUUUGUUAACAAUACAGGUU
rnacentral:tRNA from 1 species